GGGGAUGUAGCUCAGUGGUACAGCACCUGCCCGACAAGCAUGAGGUCCUGAGUUUAAUUCCCAGUACCA
rnacentral:tRNA from 1 species